CCUCAUGAUCUGCCUGCCUCGGCCUCCCAAAGUGCUGGGAUUGCAAGCGUGAGCCACUGCGCCCGGCCGACUCACUCCUGUUAUGAGGGCCUAGUCUAGCACCCACUCUAGAAUUUUGAAACCUCAUUGAUAGCUUUUCCUUGCCCCAAAGCACACAUCCAGGACUGCCAAACAGGGCAACCCAAAACUUCUCUCAGAGCUUCCUCCAGCCCAGGGGCAGCUGUCCCCAGCUGGGCGGACCCAAAGAUGGACAACAGAGGAGACUGGGAACAAAGAGGUCUAGUCCAGGUCACUCUGCAGGGCCACAGUGGGUGGCCCUUAGGAUGUAGUGAGAGUACAGAAUUGGGAGCCCUAGAGUGCUGUAAGCAAAAGGGAGAGCAAUGUACAAAGUUUCAAAAGUUUCAAACCUUCCAAGUGCAAAGAGAUGAGGUGGAGAAUGUCAUUCCCCAAGGAAAGUAAUCGAGUAUAAAUAUUUACCGGGUGCCUAUUUUUUUUUUAACCGAAGUGAGAGCAAGACCUUAAGAGUAAGGAUAUGUGUAGGUGAGUGGGGGCAGUGUUCUAACCCAUCCACUAGCUUUAGAACUUGGAGCAGGGGCAGAGGAAGAAAACUCCAAAAGGUGACAAGUUUUGAAAUUUGUGCAGGGGUGACGGUUUUUGGUAAGGCGAGCGAGGCUGGGCGCAGAGCAAAUUCUGUCUACUUCUACCUCCUCCGCGGUGGGGUUGCUGAAGUGGGAAUUCAAACUCAGCUUCCCAAUCUUAAAUGCAAGGUUUUUGUUUGGUUGGUUGUUUGGUUUUGUUUUUCCUUUUCACGGACUGUUCAUUCCGAACACCCCUGGCCUGGGACCUGGAGCCUCAUCCCUGAUUCGCUUCCCUCGAAUUCCUUAAUGUCCACUUCUGGCUCUCCCAGUCCCUGUGCAAGUCUCCCGGUUCUGGCUGCAACUUCGCACUCCGCGCCUCUGGCAACCAGAAGAGACCCUGGCAUCUCCAAAGCGCUUUAUCUCAGUCCAUUGGAACCAGUCGUGCUGACCGAUUCACACCUCGGCUAACGCACACUCGCGGGGGUGAUGGCCUUCCCUUCCCCUCCCACCCCCGUCAGCUCCCAGUUUGGCAGGGAUCCUUAGCGGUAGAAGUGUUCAGAUGCUGGACUGAUGCAGUGACAACCUGCAAGUCCCUUUUUUCCUCUUUCCACCUUCUAGUCUCCCUCCAGUGCCUCCUCUUGGCAGAACCUAACAAGAAAUCAGCUGACAAGGGAGUCUGGGAACCAGUGUCCUGUGAUCAACCUGGGGAGAACGGAAUCUUUCCUUCAGAGAACUUGGUAUAUAUCUCCAUUGUUUGAGUCUUCAUUAAAGUUUAUAAUUUUCCCUGUAAUGGUUUUAAUUCAUUCAUUAUUGUUAAGUGAUAAAUUCAUUUAAUUCAUUGUUAGAUUUAUUCCUAGGUAAUUUAUGUCCUCUAAGACUAUGGCAAAUAUUAUCUUCUUUUUAAUUAUUUUUGUUGCUGGUGUAUGAAAUUGCAAUUUAUUGUUUUAUAUUAAUCUUUUAUUGAGCUACCUUAUUAACUUAUCUUAUUAGAUUGAAGUAUUUCUAGAUUAUUUUGGGUUUUAUAUGUAAAUGAUCAUAUCACAAGCAAAUAGUGAUAAUUUUAUGUUUCCUUCCCAAUCCUUCUGCAACUGAUUUGUUUUACUUAAGUUAAUAUACUGGCAAGAACAUCUAAGGAUAGAAAGGAGUGGUGAUCAUGCACAUCCUCACCUCAUUCCAGAUUUUGAAGUGUAAGCUUCUAAUGUUUCCACAUUUGCUUAAUUUUUUAAAUGUGCUUUUUAUUUAUUUAGUUAUCAUUUUUAAAUUAUUAUUUUAUCUUAGAGACAGGGGCUUGCUAUAUUGUCCAGGCUGGUCUCGAACUCCUGGCCUCAUGUGAUCCUCCCACCUUGGCUUCUUAAAGUGCUGGUAUUAUAGGAAUGAGUUGCUGCAACUGGCCUAUAUGUGCUUUUUAUCAUUUUAAGGUUAUUCUCUUCUAUUCCUAAUUGACUAAAAGAUUUUUUUCUUUAAUAAUGAACUAAUGAUGAUUUUUUUCAAAUGCCUUAUCUAUACCUAUUAAAAUUACAUAUGGUUUUUCUCUUUUAAUAUGGUAGUAUGGUGAAUUACAUUUGUAGAUUUUCUAACAUUAAAUCAACUUUGCCUUCUUGAGUUAAACCAAACUUUGUCAGUGUAUUAUCUUUUUUAUACACUGUAGAAUUUAAUUUACUAAUACAAUCUUCUAUUUAUGAUUUUUGCUUCUAUAGUCAUAAAUGAAACAGCCCUGUAAUUUUUCCUUUUCUUCUUGUCAUAGUCUGGUUUUGGUAUUGGGGUUACAGAGUCCAUAUAAAAUGAGUUGGAGAGUAUUUCCCUUUUUUUCUAUUCUCAAGAAAAGUUUUUUAUGAGACUGGGAUGAUCACUUCCUUUUAAGAUUUGUGGGAACUUGCCUGUAAAAUCAUUUGGGCCUAGUAUUUAAUGUGGGAUUAUUUAACAAUACUGCUUGCAUUUUUGUAAUUGUUGAAUUCUCAGAUUUAAAAAAAUUUCUUCUUGAGUACAUUUUGUUAUUUUCCUAGGAAACUGAGUAUUUAUCAAACCUUUCAAAUUGUUGUUGAUAAAAUUCCUAUUUGCUUGUUAAUCUGUACUUUAUCUAGAGUGUGUUCCCUUUUUAAUUUGUGCUAUUACUUCUUUGUGAAUAAUUUGUCUUAAUUUAUUACAGAUACUUAAAUUAUAAAAGUUUUCAAAUUACUUACAUGUAUAUAUACAUAUGUUAA
rnacentral:lncRNA from 1 species